GAUGAACGCUGGCGGCGUGCCUAAUACAUGCAAGUCGAGCGAAUGGAUUAAGAGCUUGCUCUUAUGAAGUUAGCGGCGGACGGGUGAGUAACACGUGGGUAACCUGCCCAUAAGACUGGGAUAACUCCGGGAAACCGGGGCUAAUACCGGAUAACAUUUUAAUCCGCAUGGUUCGAAAUUGAAAGGCGGCUUCGGCUGUCACUCAUGGAUGGACCAGCGUCGGAUUAGCUAGUUGGUGCGGUAACGGCUCACCAAGGCAACGAUGCGUAGCCGACCUGAGAGGGGGAUCGGGCACACUGGGACUGAGACACGGCCCAGACUCCUACGGGAGGCAGCAGUAGGGAAUCUUCCGCAAUGGACGAAAGUCUGACGGAGCAACGCCGCGUGAGUGAUGAAGGCUUUCGGGUCGUAAAACUCUGUUGUUAGGGAAGAACAAGUGCUAGUUGAAUAAGCUGGCACCUUGACGGUACCUAACCAGAGAGCCACGGCUAACUACGUGCCAGCCGCCGCUGUAA
rnacentral:rRNA from 1 species